rnacentral:rRNA from 1 species
GGUUGAUCCUGCCAGUUGUCAUAUGCUUGUCUCAAAAACUAAGCCAUGCAAGUCUAAGUAUAAGCGAACUAUACAGUGAGACUGCAGAAGGCUCAUUAUAUCAGUUAUCGUCUACAGGAUGGGUAACAAUUACUAUAUGGAUAACUGUAGUAAUUCUAGAGCUAAUACAUGCCAAAAAGCCCUACUUCUUUGGAGGUAGGGUGGUCUUAUUAGAUUGCAAGCCAACCUCUGUUUCGGCAGUGUGUGUGGUGAUUCAUAAUAAUGUACCCAAUCGUUCUUUUUGAGCGAUGCAU